rnacentral:tRNA from 1 species
GAGUCGCUAGCUCAGUUGGUAGAGCAUCGCCCUUUUAAGGCGGGUGUCCCCGGUUCGAUCCCGGGGCGGCUCACCA